UACGGAAGGUGCGAGCGUUAAUCGGAAUUACUGGGCGUAAAGCGCACGNAGGCGGNUUGUUAAGNUAGAUGUGAAAGCCCCGGGCUCAACCUGGGANGGNCAUUUAGUACUGGCAGACUAGAGUCUUGGAGAGGGGNGCGGAAUUCCANGUGUAGCGGUGAAAUGCGUAGAUAUAUGGAGGAACAUCAGUGGCGAAGGCGACUNCCUGGNCAAAGACUGACGCUCAUGUGCGAAAGCGUGGGUAGCAAACAGG
rnacentral:rRNA from 1 species